rnacentral:misc_RNA from 1 species
CAUAGCGUCUCACCUAUCCCACUAAAAUAUGGGAAGGAGAGGAUGAUGGUCUCCCAUGUCACACCUGGCGUGGAUGGCUUAAAAAAGGAGCCUUUGGUUACUAGAUGCCGCGGCGAUUGGUGGUAUAAGCUUCUYGUUGUGGAAUAAGUAGCUAACUUGGCCUYGUAGGACCCUUUGAUAACCUUU